UACGUAGGUGGCAAGCGUUGUCCGGAAUUAUUGGGCGUAAAGCGCGCGCAGGUGGUUUCUUAAGUCUGAUGUGAAAGCCCACGGCUCAACCGUGGAGGGUCAUUGGAAACUGGGGAACUUGAGUGCAGGAGAGAAGAGUGGAAUUCCACGUGUAGCGGUGAAAUGCGUAGAGAUGUGGAGGAACACCAGUGGCGAAGGCGACUCUUUGGCCUGUAACUGACACUGAGGCGCGGAAAGCGUGGGGAGCAAACAGG
rnacentral:rRNA from 1 species